rnacentral:rRNA from 1 species
CCUACUGGUGGCAGCAGUGAGGAAUAUUGGUCAAUGGACGAGAGUCUGAACCAGCCAAGUAGCGUGAAGGAUGACUGCCCUAUGGGUUGUAAACUUCUUUUAUAAAGGAAUAAAACGAGGCACGUGUGCCUUUUUGCAUGUACUUUAUGAAUAAGGAUCGGCUAACUCCGUGCCAGCAGCCGCGGUAAUACGGAGGAUCCGAGCGUUAUCCGGAUUUAUUGGGUUUAAAGGGAGCGUAGGUGGGUUGUUAAGUCAGUUGUGAAAGUUUGCGGCUCAACCGUAAAAAUGCAAUUGAUACUGGCAGGCUUGAGUACAGUUGAGGUGAGCGGAAUUCGUGGUGUAGCGGUGAAAUGCUUAGAUAUCACGAAGAACCCCGAUUGCGAAGGCAGCUUUAUAAACUGUGACUGACAUUGAUGCUCGAAAGUGUGGGUAUCAAACAGGAUUAGAUACCCGAGUAGUC